GAUCUUGGUUCAGGAUGAACGCUGGCGGCGUGCUUAACACAUGCAAGUCGAACGAGGUUAACAGAGCGGAUUAUUCGGUAUGAAGCGCUAUUAACUGAGUGGCGGACGGGUGAGUAACGCGUGGGCAACCUGCCUCAUUCAGGGGGAUACCAGUUGGAAACGACUGUUAAUACCGCAUAAGCGCACGGUUCCGCAUGAAACAGUGUGAAAAGCUCCGGCAGAAUGAGAUGGGCCCGCGUCUGAUUAGCUGGUUGGUGAGGUAACGGCCCACCAAGGCGACGAUCAGUAGCCGACCUGAGAGGGUGACCGGCCACAUUGGGACUGAGACACGGCCCAAACUCCUACGGGAGGCAGCAGUGGGGAAUAUUGCACAAUGGAGGAAACUCUGAUGCAGCCGACGCCGCGUGAGUGAAGAAGUAUUUCGGUAUGUAAAGCUCUAUCAGCAGGGAAGAAGAUGACGGUACCUGCACAAGAAGCCCCGGCUAACUACGUGCCAGCAGCGGC
rnacentral:rRNA from 1 species